rnacentral:tRNA from 1 species
GCCGGGGUGGCGUAGUUGGUGGCGCGUCGGACUCAUAGGGCAGCCUUCUGGCAGAGUGAGCGCUGAAGCCCCUUCGCAAUGUCUGAGACAUCCGAAGGUCGCGGGUUCGAGUCCCGCUCCCGGCACCU